AUUGAACGCUGGCGGCAGGCCUAACACAUGCAAGUCGAACGAGUGGCGGACGGGUGAGUAAUGUCUGGGAAACUGCCCGAUGGAGGGGGAUAACCACUGGAAACGGUAGCUAAUACCGCAUACUAUCUGAUGUGCCCAGAUGGGAUUAGCUAGUAGGUGGGGUAACGGCUCAUCUAGGCGACGAUCCCUAGCUGGUCUGAGAGGAUGACCGUCAACACUGGAACGGAGACACGGUCCAGACUCCUACGGGAGGCAGCAGUGGGGAAUAUUGCACAAGGGGCGCAAGCCUGAUGCAGCCAUGCCGCGUGUAUGAAGAGGGCCUUCGGGUGGUAAAGUACUUUCAGCGAGGAGGCGUUACUCGCAGUGAAAGCACCGGCUAACUCCGUGCCAGCAGCCGCGGUAAUAC
rnacentral:rRNA from 1 species